GAUGAAGAACGUAGCGAAAUGCGAUACGUAAUGUGGAUUGCAGAAUUCAGUGAAUCAUCGAAUCUUUGAACGCAUAUUGCGCUCUCUGGUAUUCCGGAGAGCAUGCUUGUUUGAGUAUCAGUAAACACCUCAACUCCCUUUUCUUUUUUGAAAUUGGAGCUGGACUUGAGUGAUCCCAACGCUUUCUUCCAAGAAAGUGGCGGGUUGCUUGAAAUGCAGGUGCAGCUGAACUUUUCUCUGAGCUAUAAGCAUAUCUAUUUAGUCUGCCUAAAAAACAGAUUAUUACCUUUGCUGCAGCUAACAUAAAGGAGACUAGUUCUUGUGCUGACUGAUGCAGGAUUCACAGAGACAGCUUCGGCUGACUUUGUAAACUCGAUCUCAAAUCAAGUAAGACUACCCGCUGAACUUAAGCAUAUCAAUAAGCGGAGGA
rnacentral:misc_RNA from 1 species